CACGUAGGGCGCGAGCGUUGUCCGGAAUUAUUGGGCGUAAAGAGCUCGUAGGCGGCCUGUUGCGUCCGCUGUGAAAGCCCGGGGCUUAACCCCGUGUCGGCAGUGGAUACGGGCAGGCUAGAGGUAGGUAGGGGAGAAUGGAAUUCCCGGUGUAGCGGUGAAAUGCGCAGAUAUCGGGAGGAACACCGGUGGCGAAGGCGGUUCUCUGGGCCUUACCUGACGCUGAGGAGCGAAAGCGUGGGGAGCGAACAGG
rnacentral:rRNA from 1 species